rnacentral:rRNA from 1 species
GACGAACGCUGGCGGCGUGCUUAACACAUGCAAGUGGAGCGACGAACCAGGCUUCGGCCUGGGGCAAAGCCGCGAACGGGUGAGUAUCACGUGGGUAACGUGCCCCGAUGACCGGGACAACCAGGGGAAACCCUGGCUAAUACCGGAUGUGCUGUUCGGCCUCAAGGCCGAAUAGCAAAGGAAGCUUCGGCCUCCGCAUUGGGAGCGGCCCGCGGCCCAUUAGCUUGUUGGUGAGGUAACGGCUCACCAAGGCUGCGAUGGGUAGCUGGUCUGAGAGGACGAUCAGCCACACUGGGACUGAGACACGGCCCAGACUCCUACGGGAGGCAGCAGUGGGGAAUCUUGCGCAAUGCGCGAAAGCGUGACGCAGCAACGCCGCGUGAGGGAAGAAGGCCUUCGGGUUGUAAACCUCUUUCAGGAGGGACGAAGGUUCAGGCGCGAAUAGCGUCCUGGACUGACGGUACCUCCAGAAGAAGCCCCGGCUAACUACGUGCCAGCCGCCGCAGUAA